UUUUUAGAGACUCAUCAAAAAGGUUAGUUCUGUAUUUUUCAUUAGACCUGACAAAAUAAAAAAACAAUAUUGUAUUAUUAUUAGAUACUCGUGUUUGUAUUGUGUAUAGUUACUUAUGGUCUGCAGAAGCAACAACAGAUUCACACAAUUUUUCUCUAAAAAGUAAAAAUACACACAUAAUACCAUCAAUCAUGCCACGUAUACUUAAAAUUUAAAUAAAUCCAAAUUAUAUAUUUAAAUACAUAAAAUAAAUAAUAUAUUUAUGUAAUUAAGAAAUCAUAAUUUUAAAAAACUUACUUCAAAGGAAUAGCAUUUGAUUUUAAUGCUUUUCUACACUUAAUUCCGGAAGACAUGAUAUAACUAUCAUUUGCAAAAUGCAAAGAACAAACAACCGCUAAAUAUAAUUAUUUAAUGUUGAAUAAAUAUGGAAGUCAAGUAAGAUACUAAAGUAAAUAUUAUUACUAAAAAUUAUUUGUUUUUACCAGAAUUAAAAUUUAUGGAUUUCCUAUCUGCAUCUGUUUGGCCAUAUUGGUGUAUUUGUUUUUCCCAGCAAACCCCUAAAAUUGGGUCUUUUGGGAACCGAUGUAACAUAAUUUUAUGAUAUUUCACCAAACUUUUUCUUUUGCUACCAUUAUCACAUCCAAAAAACUCACAAAUUGGCAUUUUGUGUGUGAAAAUGUAAAUAUUAUAUACCUAUAGGAGUAUUUUACUUAUUCUAUGUAAAUCGUUUUAUGCAGAAUUAAAUAAACACAAUCAACUUAUAUAAUCUAGUAUAAACAAUUAACAACAAAUAAUUCGCAAAUUGAUUGUAUUUGUUAAUAUUAAAAUAUCAUAAUACAUUGAUAUCGAUGAAUAACAUAAAAAAAAUUGCAUCAGACGUCAUAAAAAAAAUGAUAAAAUGUAAUUUGUCAUAGUAAAAAGCUCGUAUUAUUCAUAAAUCAUAAUUAUUAAUUUUUAAUCAAAAUUGUAUUUUUGGCGCGUAAUUUAACGGCUAUCGAAAUGAGGCGAACCACGACUAUGGAUAGGAAGGGUUUAUUAUAUCGUGGAUAUACCUUUCUAUUUUGUCACGGGACCGAUGUCGGCCAAAAGCCGUUCUUCGGUUUGCGCCACGCGCGUGUUCGGUUGUUCCCGAUACGCGGUGUUGUCAACGCUCGUCUGUGUAAAAUAACGUCGUACAACGACGGCGUACACCACGGACUAUGAUAUAUUAUGGACUGGUAUCGAAUUUUCUGGGGGAGUAGGAGGGACCGAGCAUCAAAUGUUAUGAAAAAUAAAAUCCGAAUGAUUCCAACGCCAUCUACAUUUUUUUUUUAUAUUAUUUUAGUAUAUAAAACUAUAUAAAUUAUAUAGAGAGCGCUAAAAUCAUUCGUAAAUUUUUUACCCCCUGGCCCCUGCACUCCUCGCUCGCGUAACAUUUUCGGCUCACAGAUAUUGCACUCGAAUACUCCGUAGUCCGUACUCGAUAGUCGAUACCAGUCCAUUAUGUCUUAGUCCGUGGCGUACACUUAGGUGGCACCAUUUGCCUCCAUCGGCGCGGCGCACCAUGCGAAAAACGCGGUCUUGAUCAGGAAAUACAACGGCACUAACCGGAGAAGGCCGCCGCACAUCUGCUGCACCGUCAACGCGACGGCGAACUGCAUCCAAUAGGUGAACUAUCUGUUGUCCCGCGACACGGACGCGCGGUGGUGCCCAGGAGAACAUGCGAAAAACGCGGUCUUGAUCAGGAAAUACAACGGCACUAACCGGAGAAGGCCGCCGCACAUCUGCUGCACCGUCAACGCGACGGCGAACAGCAUCCAAUAGGUGAACCACCUAUAAUUGUCCGGCGAUACGGACGCGCGGUGGCCGGCGGCCAGGCUAAACCGGUCUUCACGUCUUGUCUGCUCGACUUGUGUCUUUUACGUUUUGUUACGACUGCUCCGUCCAAGUUCGUGGAGAUCGCCAUUGUUUUUAAGCGUUGUUUUUAAGCUCAUCGCGCUCUAACAGGCUUCGUUGCUCUUUUGACUCGUUUGUUACUCCCGUAGUCCCGUGUUCAGUCAUUGCCGAGCUGUUGUGUUUCAGAGUACGUGACGUUAUUGUUGUCCGUUGCUGUAAUAGUGGAUCAUUCACAAGCAGUACGUGCAAUCCACGUGGUACUAGUUCGGGUAUUCAGCAGAUCAGCCUUCCUUCAGCCUCCAGCUCCGGUACCCAGAGCGGUGAUCCCCGUCUUCUCCUUAUACAUUUGUUUUCUAGUUCCCCAAGAAAAUCUUCUACUUAAUAAUAGUGACGACGAAGAAGACUUUGAUGUUCCCCAGGAAGAUGUGCAAUUAAGUGAUGGGGAAGAUGCAAUUGAUGGUAGUUGCACUUUUCCUGACGCGCAACACAUCCCAGCUGGCUCAUUUUUGAAUUUCAGAGCAUGACAAUGCGGACAUUCCUUGUCCAUAGCACCAAUUACCACUUUUGAAUGAGCAUAAUAUUCAAUAUCGGGCUCAUACUGGAAUGCAUCAGAUAUAAAUGCUCGAUGUACCUGUUGUCGUUGUUGGUCAUUUGUUCUUCGUCUUUUGACUGUGAAGCGGCGUGAUUGUCGUUGUUCUAAUCUUCUGACUUCAUUGCGUUCAGCUCGUGUAUCUUCUGGCUCUUCUUGAUGCAAUUGCGCCAUUCUGACACGUGCAUCAGUAUUUUGUUGCUGGAUUUGUUCUUCUGUUCUUUCGGAUCUGUUAUUUCGCAAGUUUCGAGCUUUACUUGUACUGCGGCUCAAAUCAGCCCCUUUGCGUUUUCUUGGCAUUGCUCACUGUACAAAACAUCUAAUAUAUAAAAUUCUCGUGUCACAGUUUUCGUUGCCAUACAUAUUGUUUAUGCAUCAAGUGUAGUAACGUUGACAAUUGUACAUAAUGUAUGUUUUGUACGGUGAGCAAUGCCAAUAAAACGCAAAGGGGCUGAUUAAAAGGAAAAAUUGAGGAUUGUGUGUAUUUUUGUAUGUUAUAUCUAUUAUUUUUUUUUUUUUUUUUAUAUAUACAAUGUGUCCCGGGGCGAAGUGACCGGCCGCUGUCAUAUGAAAGUAUACCUAAAAUGAUGAAGAAAUAACCUUUAAAGUGGGGGGUCUAACUCUUUUUUUUUUGAGUUAUGGGCAAUUUAAGUUUUUUUAAACCAAACAAAAACUACCACGGAUUUUUUUAUGUUUCUCCGAAACUUUUCAACAUUUUAACAUAAUUUUUUUUUUGUUUUAAAGCUAUUUAAUUGUCCUUUCAACCAACAUACGCAAUUAAACCAAAUUUAUGUAAAUUAUUAUUAUUAAAUUGAAAAAAUUAAAUAUUUUUAUCAAAAGUUGGAAUUUUUAAAAAUAAAUCUCGUAUUACUCAAAAUAAUUCAAUACUUAGUAUGGGUUAUUUUGAUUGUGUAUUAUUCUACAGAAUAAUACUUUGAAUACCUUAUAAGUUUGGUUUUCAUAUCUUUCAUAAUCGCAGAGUUAUAAGCAGCUAAACAUUACAGGUCUUUUGUGAUUUUAAUUAUUGGCAAUUUAUAAUCUUUCUAAAUAUCAAGUAUAACUUAGGCAUAAACUCAUUAGGGGCGAUAGCAGCAGAAGAAAUACGACAAAAUCAUGCUGAAAUACAAAGGACUACACAAAGUGUUUCAUUUAGAGCUCAAGCUUGUUUGCAGUUAGGUGGGGAACACUUUGAAAAUCUUAUUAAUUAAUCAAAUAAACAUAACAUUUAUUUCCUUGUUAUUUAAUUAUUAUUAUUAUUAAACUACUUUAUUUUUAUUUU